AUGCAUACCUAGUGGGGAGACCCUCAUUUUCAUGAAUAUGGUUCUUCAAGAGUGAGGGCUUUGCAAUUUGGCAGUGUUGAUCCCUGAGAUUUUCCCAAAUGCAAGAAACUUUAUUGUACACGUUGUGGUAGUUGAAGUACAUGUGUGCUUUCCCUCAU